GGCUCUGGCACAGGCCUGCUGCGCAAGAUGAAACAUGGACCUUCUCAAGCGAUCAGGAGAACUUUGCUUUUCUGUUUCAGUCAAGCACUGGUGCUUGCUGGCUAUUCAAGGCUGAAACUUUUGAAUCUGAAAAAGCCAGACCCAUCUGCCAAAUGGCUCCUCUACUUGAUCAGGUUUGCUUUGAUUGUCUCCCCAUUUUCCAAUAAACACUUGAAGAUACCACUGGGCAAUUAUCGAGGCGGUCCCUGGGAACGGUUCCCAGCCGGUCUGAUAGGAGGCACGCUAGACGCAAGGCACUUGCCCUGGAUUGAUCCCAGAUGCAUAGGGCACAUGGAUGGCUGUUCCCAAAAGAGGAUGCAAAGAAACAAGCUAAUGAGGGGCAUGGGAACAGCCUUGUGACUGCAGCGGAAGGUAGCGAUGGGAGACCCAAGUGUUCCAACUGGACUGUGAGAAAUGAAGGCAUGUGUGUGGUUUUGUGAGAGGUGAAGUGAGAAAAUCGAGUACAUGUCUAAAGCUAACAGGCAUCACCGAGCACCCAGUUUUACAGUGAGUGUCACACACAAGUGCCGUGAAUCCCUUCCAAAUUGACCACUUCAUCAUCUGGAUGGUGAAGUCACCCUUGAUCCAGGGAAGGACAGAAGAGUUAGUUUACCUUUGGCAUCUUCUACUCUCCUUUUAUUAAAGGGUUGUAUUGUGUAUUAUUUCCUCUGACUGCUGCACCAUGUACUACCUCUCUGAACCUAGAGAGCGAUCCUACAUUCAUUCCUGUAUCAGCUGCUUACCUUCCCAGCCUGUCUUCAUAUCACCCAAGUGUGUCCUCUCCUUGGCUGUGGCCAGAUGAACCACUAGCUCUGUGGAGGACACAACAGAGCCAGCAGCCCCUCGCACCUUUUAUUGUAAUUGUUUAUUUUAUUUCUUCUUCUUCAGAUGAGCCUGUUCCAAGCCCCAGUAUUAAAAGCCAGCCAUACUCAUGGGAAUCCCCAAGUGUGCAACCCCAGACGUGGUCAGGAUCUCCAGGACGUCAAUACCCACAUCCAUCCCACCUGUUGAGCAGGCUUCACUCCUCUCCCCCUGUGUGGGCUGUGGAGCCCCUGGGACACUCAGGCACAAAGCCUGGCCAAGAGCAGCUAGUUUGUCUGUGCAGUGAGAGCUGCACCAUCCAUACUUGGAACAUGACAGCCUCUUUUCUACUGUCCUGUAUCCUCUGAAUUGUCAGCCUGGCAGCAGAAGUCCUCAGCAAGGCACCUAGGGCAGGAUAAUGCCCUCUCCCUCUCCCUUUGCACAGUGUGUUGAGCUGGAAGGGUUUCAGGAAAGGCCAUAGAAGAUGAGGGUGAGGAAACCUGUCUGCCUUGAGCUUCUGCUGCUGCUGAGCAACAAUCUGGCCAGCCUGAACUAUUAGAUAUGCCCAAGUGCCCAGAAACUUCUGUUCAUGGUACCUAUGGCAUUGCCCUUCAGCUAAACAGUGUGACUUUUGUUUUCCAACAAGCAGAAUAACAAGACAUAUCUCAGACAUCAAAGGGCUUGGGACUUGUGAGUUUGCAGUCUGGAGACUGCUCCAGGUCAGUUUUGCCUCAGUUUCUACCAGCAAGACUGACCUUCAGGAAUCCCAGGUCCCAGAGGCCAGGCUGAAAGGCUGGAGCAAGGAAGAUGUACCUUUGGUGGAAGACCAUCAGGUCAGGGAAUACUUGAGCAACCUGGACAUUUGCAAGUCCAAGGACAGUGAUGGGACACACCCAUGAGUGCUGAGGGAGUUCACAGGUAUGAUUGUGAGGUCACUCUCUAUAAUCUUUGUUCAGUCAUGGCAACUGGGAGAAGUGUUUAAAGACUGGGGGAAAGCAAAUGUCGCUGCUAUCUUCAAGAAGGGCAAGAAAGAGGACCCGGGGAGCUAAGGGCCAGCCAGUCUCACCUCGGAAGGUGAUGGAACAGCUAAUCCUGGAAACCACUGCCAGGCACAUGAAGGAGAAGAAAAUCAUCAGGAGUAGUCAACAUGGAUUUACCACGGGGAAGUCAUGCGUGACCAACCUGAUAAGCUUCUAUAAUGAAAUCACCAGCCCGAUGGAUGAGGGCAGGAGCAGUAGAUAUUUUCUUCCUGGACUUCGGUAAGGCUUUUUACUCUGUCCCCCAUAAGAUCCUCGUAGAGAAGCUGUCAAAGUAUGGGCUGGAUGGGCAGUCAGUGAGGUGGAUUAAAAACUGGCUGAAUGACCAGAUCCAGAGGGUAGUGGUCAGCGGUGCAGUCUAUUCAGAGGCCAGUAACAAGUGAAGCACCCCAGGGGUCGAUGCCGGGUCAAGAAGUCCUGUUUAACAUCUUCAUUAAUGAGCUGGACGAUGGGGUAGAGUGCCCUCUCAGUAAAUUCGUGGAUGACAUUAAACUGGGUGGAGUGGCUGAUUGACCAGAGGGCUGUGCAGCCAUCCAGAGGGACAUUGACACGCUGGAGAGGUGGGCUGACCCAUUCUGAGGUGGGCUUACAAAGUUCAGUGAGGGAAAGUGCAGAGUUCUGCACCUGGGGAGGAGCAACCCCAGGCACCAGGACAUGCUGGGGGUACCCAGCUGGACAGCAACUGCAGAAAAGACCUAGGAGUCCUGGUAGACACCAAGUUGAAAAUGAUUAUCAGAAAUGUGCCCUUGAUGCUAAGAAGGCUAAUGCUGUAUUUGCCUGAAUAAGGCAAAGUAUCACCAGCAGGUCGAGGAAAGAAAUCCUUCCCUUUUACUCAGCAUUGGUGAGGUCUCACCUGGAGUAGUGUGCCCAGUUCUGGGUCCCCAGUAUGAGAGGGACCUGAACAUAGUGGAAAAAAUACAACAGAAGGCCAACAAGAUGAUCAAGGCACUGAAGCACCUGUCUGAGGAGAGGCUGAGAACACUGGGACUGCUCAGCCUGGAGAAGAGGAUGUUCACGUGGGAUCCUGUCAUAUUCCUAUCCAAUAAAUACCUGAAGGGAGGGUGCCAAGAAGAUGGAGCUAGGCUCUUAUCAGUGGUGCCCAGUGCUAGGACAAGAGGCAAUGAGCACAAACUGGAACCCAAGAGUUUCCAUCUAGACAUCAGGAAACACUUCGAUGCUCUGUGGGUGACUGAGCACAGGCUGCCCAGAGAGGCUGUGGGGUCUGCCUCCUUGUAGAUCUUCAAAAGUCACCUGGACGUUGUCCUGGGCAACCUGCUCUAGGUGUCCCUGCUUGAGCAGGGGCUGGACCAGAUGACCUCCAAAGGCUGUGCCCAGCCUGAGCCUCUCUGUGAUUCUGUGGCUAUAUCAUUCUGUCAUACUGUCAUUCUGUCAGUCUGUCCAGCUGUGGCCGUGCCUAUGAGCAGCACAACAGUAUCUGCUAGUCACCCCUGUGGAUCUGAUGUUCUUGAAACAUCUCCCCGAGCUCCAUCCUGCCCCAGUGCAGCACCACCUCCUUCAGACACCCCUCUCUGCCACUCAGGCCCCUGUGUUUAAUUGAGGCAGCACCUGGUUUUAAUAGGAAGUCUGAACAGUAAUUUUUUUUUUUUUAGAUCCUAAAUUGUUUUCAAAGGGCUGGUGCAUCAUUCUCACCCCCCUCCAGCCCAUCCAGUACUGCUCAAGGAGCGACUGGGACAGUCUUUGCAGCCUCCAGAAGAUGGUGCCCUGCUGUUAGGAAACAAUGGUGCAAGCAGCAGUCAUUCCAGUUCACUGGCACAAUGUCACACAAAACGGUUUGUGUCUGUCAGCACAUUCCUGGAAGGUCACAGUGAAUGAUGAAUGCUCCUGUGUAGGAGCUGAAGAGUUUUUUUUUUUCUUUUCUCUUUCUUUUUUUCUUUUUUUUUUUUUUUUCCAUGAAUUGCAUCACUUGGCGGCCUCUUGGCUUCAUUCAUUUGACUCCUGUGGUUACAAACCUUUCCCAAUUGUUGUGAGCCUGCUUCCUCCACAGCCCCUCUGUGGCCAAAGCAGGAUAUUCAUGACUGACUGGCCUGGGGAAGCUGGAUAACUUCCAGCUACUUUCCACAGCAGAGUUGCUCACUUCCCUCCCCCCGAGGUCUGAAAUAUCCUGUGGUUCUGGUUAGCUUUCUCUCCGGAUGCACAUCAGCUAAAGCAUAUGCAUCAUCAUGUGAUACCCAAGGUUGUUUCGGCGCAGCUAAUUGUGACAGAGGCUUUAUUUAGAUGCCAUGUAUAAAAAGAUGAGUAAAGCACUCCAAUGUGAAGCCAGGAGGAUAUUAGACUUGAUCCUGAAUGAAAAGCUGAUUUUCAC